UGAAAAAUUGUUAUUUUUUACUUUAUCAAAACAAUUAUUGUAAUGUCAGAAUGUUCGUACAACAUUUUUCUAAAGCAUAGCAGUGUAGCCUGCUCUUUUUCGGAAAACGUCUCUUAUUACAGCAAUCUCUAGGCUUAUUCUGCCUAAAGUAUUAAGAUUAACGUAAUCUUUGAACUACCACUGGCCCUCUGUCCGAUCACAGACUGGGCAACUAUUGUUAAACGCCUCUGAUACCUCUAUAAAUGAGAUGAAAAUAACUCGAUGAUUGUUGAAUCUGUUUUAAUGCAAUGUAAUGUGGCCAUGUUUAAAGUUUAUUUUCCUUCAAAAUCAAUGAUCUGAGUUAAUCUUGUUCAUUUUCAGCGCUGUGCUCCACAAUUGUUACGGGCAGAAGUUAAAUGGUCCCAAAUCGCCGUGCUAGGAAUAGCUUGUUUUAUUGGCAUAGCUGCACUGAUAUCCAUUUUUGUUUUAUGCUGUGCAUACAACAGAUGGAAGAAAAUGAGGUGAUAAAUGGUCAACCGUAACUUUAUCACAACCAACUAAUUGUACGUAUUCUUUUACGUAGCCAUUAUUUUGAAACUUUCUUGCCGUACUUCUCUGGAUCUCACAAUCCUUGCCAAUUUUCAACCUUUUGUGUUAACGCAAAAUUGUUGCAUUGCAAAUUGUAAAAAUUGUAUUGCAAAAAUUAUUUGUGUACUAUGUUUCAAUAAGUUCUUGUAAUAAUCACAAAUACGUUUCAAAUUUACUUAUAAAAGGCUUAAGACAUCCUCUAUUAAUGUUCUUUUUACUAACCCUCUAUGGCUUUAUGUUACUUGUUUUGUAAAAACGCAUUUUUGGGUUUUUAAAAUUGCACUAUUCCUGUGAAGCAUGAUGUUGCAAAUUUUUAUCUCUGUCUUCUCUAUUGGAAAAAUGAUUACAAAAAUUUAUAAAGUUUUUCAGACUACGUUUUUACGAAAGCUACAGCAGAGAUUUGUAUGUCUCAGAAUCUGAGACCCAAAAUUAAUUCAUGCCAUAGAGGGUUAAUAUGGCCUUUUACUAUUUAAACUAUCAUUAUUAUGCCAUUAGUUUUUGGGCCAUUUUUUCCAUAGCUCAAAAGUUGAGAGAAUCUGUCUCAAUUUACAACCUUUGAUCAGGGAUCCAAUAAACCUAACCUACAAUUUUGAAAGCUACUAUAAGCAAUUAGGUAACAGACUUAAAUAGAGAGCAGAAAGAAAACCUUAGAAUUGUCUGCAGUCUAUUUGUCAAAAGCACUUACCAGGAAUUUUGAAACUCUGUAGGAGGACUAAGUAAAAUAGACAAAAAUGGACUGUUUUUUUAGCACAUAUUUUGUGAUCUCGGAAUGAGAACAAAACUGUAAGCCUCCUCUCUCCCCUUUUUCACUCCUACUGCUCCGUUUCUCUAUCUCAGUGCCCGCUCUUUCAAGUUGGAUGAGAGGUAUUUCCGUCAUCAGUUAGCUCUUUGUGCUCUUAUCAGUGAGCCACGUCAAUCUAAUGGAAAAUUGGCUUGUGUUUAGUUAUUUCCUUUUGAUUUAACAUGUUGGCAAUGGCGUCAGGUGCCAGCAACCAACAGUGAAUAUUGAGCUGUAUAAGCAGAAAUCCGUCCGUCCACAUGUUGUGAUCUCAUAGCU
rnacentral:lncRNA from 1 species